UACGUAGGUGGCAAGCGUUGUCCGGAUUUACUGGGCGUAAAGAGCGCGCAGGCGGUCGUAUAAGUCGAAUGUGAAAGCCCCCGGCUCAACUGGGGAGGGUCAUUCGAUACUGUUCGACUCGAAGGCAGGAGAGGGAAGUGGAAUUCCGGGUGUAGUGGUGAAAUGCGUAGAGAUCCGGAGGAACACCAGAGGCGCAGGCGGCUUGCUGGGUCUGUAUUGACGCUCAGACACGAAAGCAUGGGGAGCGAACAGG
rnacentral:rRNA from 1 species